rnacentral:rRNA from 1 species
UACAGAGGUCUCAAGCGUUGUUCGGAUUCAUUGGGCGUAAAGGGCGCGUAGGCGGCGGGGUAAGUCGGGUGUGAAAUCUCAGGGCUCAACCCUGAAACUGCACUCGAUACUGCUCUGCUUGAGGACUGGAGAGGAGACUGGAAUUCACGGUGUAGCAGUGAAAUGCGUAGAGAUCGUGAGGAAGACCAGUGGCGAAGGCGGGUCUCUGGACAGUUCCUGACGCUGAGGGCGCGAAGGCCAGGGGGAGCAAACGGG